rnacentral:rRNA from 1 species
AGAGUUUGAUCCUGGCUCAGGAUGAACGCUGGCGGCGUGCCUAAUACAUGCAAGUCGAGCGAACGGACGAGAAGCUUGCUUCUCUGAUGUUAGCGGCGGACGGGUGAGUAACACGUGGAUAACCUACCUAUAAGACUGGGAUAACUUCGGGAAACCGGAGCUAAUACCGGAUAAUAUUUUGAACCGCAUGGUUCAAAAGUGAAAGACGGUCUUGCUGUCACUUAUAGAUGGAUCCGCGCUGCAUUAGCUAGUUGGUAAGGUAACGGCUUACCAAGGCAACGAUGCAUAGCCGACCUGAGAGGGUGAUCGGCCACACUGGAACUGAGACACGGUCCAGACUCCUACGGGAGGCAGCAGUAGGGAAUCUUCCGCAAUGGGCGAAAGCCUGACGGAGCAACGCCGCGUGAGUGAUGAAGGUCUUCGGAUCGUAAAACUCUGUUAUUAGGGAAGAACAUAUGUGUAAGUAACUGUGCACAUCUUGACGGUACCUAAUCAGAAAGCCACGGCUAACUACGUGCCAGCAGCCGCGGUAAUACGUAGGUGGCAAGCGUUAUCCGGAAUUAUUGGGCGUAAAGCGCGCGUAGGCGGUUUUUUAAGUCUGAUGUGAAAGCCCACGGCUCAACCGUGGAGGGUCAUUGGAAACUGGAAAACUUGAGUGCAGAAGAGGAAAGUGGAAUUCCAUGUGUAGCGGUGAAAUGCGCAGAGAUAUGGAGGAACACCAGUGGCGAAGGCGACUUUCUGGUCUGUAACUGACGCUGAUGUGCGAAAGCGUGGGGAUCAAACAGGAUUAGAUACCCUGGUAGUCCACGCCGUAAACGAUGAGUGCUAAGUGUUAGGGGGUUUCCGCCCCUUAGUGCUGCAGCUAACGCAUUAAGCACUCCGCCUGGGGAGUACGACCGCAAGGUUGAAACUCAAAGGAAUUGACGGGGACCCGCACAAGCGGUGGAGCAUGUGGUUUAAUUCGAAGCAACGCGAAGAACCUUACCAAAUCUUGACAUCCUUUGACAACUCUAGAGAUAGAGCCUUCCCCUUCGGGGGACAAAGUGACAGGUGGUGCAUGGUUGUCGUCAGCUCGUGUCGUGAGAUGUUGGGUUAAGUCCCGCAACGAGCGCAACCCUUAAGCUUAGUUGCCAUCAUUAGGUUGGGCACUCUAAGUUGACUGCCGGUGACAAACCGGAGGAAGGUGGGGAUGACGUCAAAUCAUCAUGCCCCUUAUGAUUUGGGCUACACACGUGCUACAAUGGACAAUACAAAGGGCAGCGAAACCGCGAGGUCAAGCAAAUCCCAUAAAGUUGUUCUCAGUUCGGAUUGUAGUCUGCAACUCGACUACAUGAAGCUGGAAUCGCUAGUAAUCGUAGAUCAGCAUGCUACGGUGAAUACGUUCCCGGGUCUUGUACACACCGCCCGUCACACCACGAGAGUUUGUAACACCCGAAGCCGGUGGAGUAACCUUUUAGGAGCUAGCCGUCGAAGGUGGGACAAAUGAUUGGGGUGAAGUCGUAACAAGGUAGCCGUAUCGGAAGGUGCGGCUG